UACUUUUUUAGCCCAAUUUCCAACCAAAUGUCUUGAAAGGCAAACUUCCCAGAUGUUUUGAGCCCUCUCAUUGUGAGCUCUUCUCAUUUGCAAAUCCACUUUGCCACUUCAGAUCGAUCGAUUCAUUUUCCUCCUCAGCUCAUCGGAAUCCAUGGCGAAAGAAACAGCUUGCAUCCUAGUUACAAGAGUCGUAGCGUCAUGGUGGGUAGGUAGCUUCCCAAGGAAAGAAGGCAUGGUAAGGAAAGACAUCAUGACAAAGAACAUUUCCAUCCACAAGUCCCAAGCUUCUGCAUUGGAAAAUCAAGCAGCUCCUGACUGCAAGGGUGGAUCCACCUUGAGAUAAGGUGGGUCAGCUGACUCCUCCAAGCUCAUAAAUUCUCUAUGAAAAAGUUGGGUGCUACCAUUUGUAAAUUUGAGAUGCCCUUCAAAGCUACAUUCCAAAUGCUCAAUGAAUUGCUUAUGGGGGUACUGGGCAGGGUAGUUGCUAGCCUCAUGUCUUUGUAUUCCUUGCAUAAGUUGGCCUCUGUCGGCAUGCUCACUCAACAGCUAUUGACAUCAGUUGACAUGCUCGUUCGGAAGCUGUUAACAUUUAUCAACAGACGUGCAAUAUAACUUGGCAAAUGACCUCAGGCCUACCAAGGUCUAAUGAAAUGCCAAUUUGCAUGUUAUUUCGUUCAAAAAAUAAUAUGUGUGCUACACGAACUAUUCUUAUUGACACCCUAAUAUUAUUUAUUGGAUCUGUCACUGUAUACGGGAGAUAAUUGCUCCUUUGAUGAAAUGGAAAAUGUCAAAAAGUGAAAUUAAUUUGUAGAAUUUAUGAGAUAGACUACAUACG